rnacentral:lncRNA from 1 species
GUGCGAGGAGAAAGAUGGUGGAAAAUGUGUGUGAACGAAGUGACGGAGGGGAAAAGACAACUACCACAAAAUAGUGCGUGGAAAGCGAGUACACAGUCCGGGUACCCAUCUCACGCUCAUAAAGACUCGGGGAAACUGGGGUUUGUUACGAAAAGGGCAACAACAGAAAAAAAAAUUAAUUAGAAUAGUUAAAAACAGAAAACUUAGAUUUCCGUUAAACAACAUACAUCGAUAAUUAAGUAAUAGGUAUUAAAAGAUUUUUCUGGCGUUCAAAUAAACUGCUGCACCAACAAUACACUGGCAGAGAUAGAUGAGUUCACUUUGUGAACAUUCUUGACCUCCAUGAUGUCACUUGGUUCAUGGAAGGGAAAUAAUCCUGACAUAAAUAAAGUAGGAUAAAGUGAAGUGUGACAGAUGAGAGUUUAACUUUAUCUUGUCCCCAAAGUAACCUGGGUUACAAAAAUAAAAUCCUCCUUAAAUUACCUACCAAUUUUUUUCUCUCUUUUUGUUUACUACGUUAUUUUGUUUAUUUAUCAUCUCUGUUACUCUAGAUAUUAUAUAUAUAUUGUACAAUAUGAUAUGAUAAAUUGUAUAUAGAUAAUUCCUUCGCUUGUCAAAUUGUAUUAUAGAUAGUAAGCGGUGCAAAGAUACACGUAUGCUGCUUAGCAAUACGCACACACAAGUAUAAACAACUCUGCUGACAAACCAUUUUCUACACAAAGACACAUAAGCUUGCGCACGCCCACGCGCAUGCGCACACACUUUGAACCCAACUCGUUUUCUGUACCGUGAAGAAUGUUUCUUCUCUGGCUCUGUUUCGAAAAUAACUCCCUGAGCUCGGCGCUGUAAGCCUGUCAGUCCGACCUCAAGGGUAACGACCAAACAGCUGCUGUAGGUGCUGAGAGCAGCCAUUACAGCCAUUACAGCCAUUACAGCUGACAGACGUAAACCGGUCUUAAGGCUCUUGAGCCCGUUGUGCGGGUCCAGCGCGCUAACGACAAGCCGUAAACCGGAGGAUGGGUCGUAACGCGGGUUACGUUGCCAUCAAACCAGCGAACAAGCGAGUGGCAUUUGCAGUUACCUUGACAACUAGGCUGGGGUGGGGGAGCACGCAUUCAAAGAAUACACGAAGAUGGAGAAGCAGGAUGCCCGAUUGGCUCGUCAACAUCACGACAUACCGUAAGGCGCGAGACUCAAUAUGGCGUCAUCAAUAUUCAAGUCACCAAUGAUAACGUCUAAAGAACGUCUGUACCCAACGUCCACGUGGUGUCAUCAUGACAUUUGCGGCAACAUGUCAGGAAGAAGUUCGACUGUCAGGCUCCAAUGUCCAGCAAGGUAUCAUCAUCUGAGCGGCGCUUUCUCGCUUUUUGUCUGACAUGCAUUCCUGAGUUGAGUAGCACCUGCCUGAGGCAAUGGAUUCCUCUAAACCAGUACAGGUGUUAACAAAUACAAUAACCAAGACUCACUCAUGUCCUUGUGGAAAAGCUCAGAAACCAACACUUUACGAGGCAAAACAUCUCAGGCCUGAAAUUGAAAGAUAAGCAGAGGAUCAAGUAUGCAACCUUUCAGUAGGAUCUUACACAAUAAAGCUGCUUCCGUUGAGUGAGACGUCAGGACGUCGGCCAAGCGUUGAGAGGGUUAACAUGAAAGCGGAAGUGCACGUGUUUCAGUGCAAGCGGCACGUGGUAAAACUCUUUGUGUCUAAUUAUAGACUUAACGGCCAUGUGUACUAUGAAGGAGAGAGAGAGAGAAAAAAAAAAGAAAAGUUUGCCUAAAAGGCGUCCAGGCUUCUUGAUAGUUAUUUUGAAUUUAAAAAACUAAUUCGCUGACUGAAAGCAAUACAAAAUCAGUCAAUCAGUCUCAGUCUCUGGACGUCACUAUACAGCCUCACAGUUACUGAUUCGCCAUAGAACUAAUAUCCACUGUCUGGCCCACUCACUCAUUCAUUCCUCGAAGUGUCUCAGAAGCAACUGACCACCAACUCCACCACAAAAACUGGUAAUAGAAAACACAACUCCGCAAGCUGGCUUUGAUUGGGAGACUGGUCUCCAAGACCUGAUUCUCGGGAAAAGGGGAGGUUUCUGCGAGUCUCGCUCCCCUCCCCCCUUACCGACCGCCUUGUCCAGACGAGGCUUUGCUGCAGACAACCACCUUGUCCCAGUCGAGCUCCCCCGAUCCCCUCCUACCCUGGCCUCUGUUUGACAUUACAACGCAGCCAGUGAAUGGCGAAGGGUUGGUAAGGAUGCCAGCAUACAGUGCCUGCGGGAGUAUAGGAGGAUAGCUUGACCCCGCAGCUAUGCGGCACCACUCAGUGUGCCAGAACACGUCUUUUGCUUCUAGAGACUCUAAAAAUCUUGAAGAUUACCCCGCCAGGUGUUACGAAAAAAAAUGGGUUUUAAAAAACUAUGAUUGCUCCGUGGAGAGUGAGUAUCUUCAAGGAGAUUCUUCUCGUGAUCAGUCUUGUUCUUUAACCUCAAACUCUCCCACACACACACAUUCAUUCCAUCACACCAUGGGCUUCUUGUCUCCAUCGUCCAGUCUGUUGUGCUCUCGGAUAAAGAUGUGGCCACCGAUGUUUGUGGUUUUUCUGGUCAUUAGCUCCGUUCACGAUGGUCGUCGGCACGACAAGUAUUGGGCCCCUACCUUCCAUCCUCGUCCCAUCCUUCCUAAAAGAAUCAGGAACAGAAUAUGCGAGGUGCGAAUAGAGCUUUUGAGACAUGAAUUAAAAACUUGAGAGACAGGCUCCUCUCUCUUACCUCCCCUGGAUAAAAAUCAGAUACCCAUUUCCGUUGGGUAGUGGCGGAGGUAUUUUUCUCGAAACAAUUUUAAGCGA